rnacentral:misc_RNA from 1 species
UCAAAACACUAACUUUUUGACAAUUGACAUUUGACACAAUAUUAAAUUAAGUUUAUGAAAAAAGAGAAACAACUGAUUAUAAGUACAGAAUCAAAUGAAAAAGUUAUAAUUUAGUUUGAAGCUACCCUGCAAACUUUUAGCGAAUUGUGUCAUCAGCUGUUUGAGUUCCGACUGCGAAGUUACCUUAGCUCGGGACUUAUCUGGGAGAAGAAUGAUCACGACACCGUCUGCAGACCAGCAUUUCCUCAUUCCAAAGUGACUACGAGCAGCAGUGAAUAGAUCUUGU